rnacentral:lncRNA from 1 species
CCUUUGCGGGUCUGAAACUGGCCGCUGCGCACGGGGCGGAGUCGGGGCCGGGAGCGCGCCCCCUCCUGCGGCAGGACGCGCUCGGGGACCGAGUCUCGUUACAGUCAGGACUUCUGCUGGGCAGGGUCAGCUGUUAAUCCUCAAGGCGGAUACCGGGGCGGUGGGGAGAUGGGGCAUAUGGGUGGUGUCCGUCGGUGAGAAACACCUAGCACAGAAAAAGGGUGGCGGCGAGAGGGAGUUCCCACCUGUUGGCGUUCUUCCAGAAAUAAAGACUUGAGAAAAUACCAAGGAGGGGCCGAUCGGUGUGUUUCGGACGCGCCUAGAACCCCACCCUCGGUCAGAGGAAAAGCUCCUGGGGUGAGACGCAGGAGCUUCAGAAAAACCAAGAAGAAAAGCAGCUCCCUCCGCGCGCCACGUCCUCUGCCUCGCACUCCUGCGCGGCCGGCCCAGCCUGCGCCUGGCCCGCGGCCCUUCGCCUGGCUGCGCCUUCCCACCCCGGCCUUCCGGGUGCCUCAGCCGGCGACCUGCCUCCGAGUCCUCCCAUGGCGGUAGCGCGACCCACAGGCUCCGCGAGCGGAGCCCUUUGCUGGCAACUCCUGCUGACCCUCGCGAUCUUAACAUUUGCCUGUGAUGCCUGCAAAACAGUGACACUACAUGUUCCCUCCAAACUAGAUGCUGUAAAAUAUAUUGGUAGAGUUAACCUGAAGGAAUGCUUUAAAUCUGCAAAUCUAAUUCAUUCAAGUGAUCCUGAUUUCCAAAUUUUAGAAGAUGGUUCAGUCUAUACAACAAAUGCCAUUCUUUUGUCCUCAGCGAAGAGAUCUUUUACCGUAUUACUUUCCAACACAGAUACCCAAGAAGAGAAGAAAAUACUUGUCCUUUUAGAGCAACAAACAAAGGUACUGAGGAAAAGGCGUUCUCAAGAAAAAGUUCUAAUACGUGCCAAGAGAAGAUGGGCUCCUAUUCCUUGUUCAGUGUCUGAGAAUUCCUUGGGUCCUUUCCCACUUUUUCUUCAACAGAUUCAAUCUGAUACAGCACAAAACUACACUAUUUACUAUUCCAUAAGUGGGCCUGGAGUUGACAAAGAACCUCUAAAUUUAUUUUAUGUAGAGAGAGAUACUGGAAACCUGUUUUGUACUCGUCCUGUAGAUCGUGAAAAGUAUCCAUCUUUUGAGCUAGUUGCCUUUGCAACAACUAAGGAUGGAUAUACUCCAGAAUUUCCACUGCCCCUACUAAUCAGAAUCGAGGAUGAGAAUGAUAACUUCCCAAUUUUUACAGAAACAACUUACAUUUUUAAUGUUUCUGAAAACUGCAGAGUUGGUACUACCGUGGGACAGGUUUGUGCAACUGACAAAGAUGAGCCUGACACACUGCACACGCGUCUAAUGUACUCCAUCAUCGAGCAGUUACCAGCAUCACGCACCCUCUUUUUUAUGCAGCCAGCUACAGGUGUGAUCACCACAACAUCAUCUCAGCUAGACAGAGAGGUAACUGAUAAAUACCAAUUGAAAAUAAAAGUACAAGACAUGGAUGGUCAAUAUUUUGGUUUGCAGACAACUGCAACUUGCAUCAUUAAUAUUGGAGAUGUGAAUGACAACUUGCCAACAUUCAACCGUUUAUCUUAUGAGACAUCAGUGGAGGAAAAUAUAAUUGAUGUGGAAAUCUUACGUGUUGCCGUUACGGAUAAGGAUUUAAUUAAUACUGCUAAUUGGAGAGCUAAUUAUACCAUUUUAAAGGGCAAUGAAAAUGGAAAUUUUAAAAUUGUAACAGAUCCCAAAACCAAUGAAGGAGUUCUGUAUGUGGUUAAGCCACUGAAUUAUGAAGAAAAACAAGAGAUGACCCUACAAAUCAGUGUAGUUAAUGAAGCUCCAAAUUUUGCUAGUUCGAGAUCAACCAUGAGCAUGGCGACAGUCACUGUUAAUGUACAAAAUCAGGAUGAAGGCCCUGAGUGUCGCCCUGCAGUGCAAAUUGUUCGUAUUAAAGAAAAUGCACCAGGGAGCACAAAGGGCAUUGGAUAUAAAGCACAUGACCCGGAAACAAAUAGUAGCAGUGGCAUAAGGUAUAAGAAAUUAAGUGAUCCAGAAGGAUGGGUCAGUGUUGAUGAAAACUCAGGAUCAAUCACAAUUUUAAGAAGCCUGGAUAGAGAGGCAAGGACCAUCAGAAAUGGUAUAUAUAAUAUUACAAUCCUUGCCUCAGACAAAGGUAAGAACUUUAGAACAUGUACUGGGACACUAGGGAUUAUACUUGAAGACGUGAAUGAUAACGGCCCAUUCAUACCUCAAAAGACGGUGAUAAUCUGUAAAACUGUCAUGUCAUCGGCGGAGAUUGUGGCCGUAGAUCCCGAUGAACCCAUACACGGCCCACCCUUUGACUUCAGUUUGGAAGGUGUUUCUGAUUCAGAAGUACUUAGAAUGUGGAGACUGACAAAAAUUAACGAUACAGCAGCACGUCUUUCCUAUCUGAAUGACCUCCAGUUUGGAGAAUAUACAGUACCUGUCAGAGUUGCAGAUAGGCUUGGCCAAUCACUUGUCACUCAGUUAAAGGUGAUAUUAUGUGACUGUGUUACCCAAAGUGACUGCGACAUUCGCUCAUCUGUGAUUCCCAGAAGACUGAUACUUGGAAAGUGGGCCAUCCUUGCAAUAGUGUUGGGCAUAGCAUUGCUAUUUUGUGUCCUAUUUACCUUAGUCUGUGGGGCUACUGGGGCAGCCAAAAAGCCAAAAGUAUUUCCCGAUGAUUUAGCCCAGCAGAACCUCAUUGUAUCAAACACUGAAGCUCCCGGCGAUGACAAAGUGUAUUCCACCAACGGCUUCACAACCUAUACUAUGGGAGGCUCCACUCAGGGAAUUUGCAGCACCCUGGGAUCCGGAGUGAAAAACGGAGGGCAGGAGACCAUUGAAAUGGUGAAAGGAGGGCAGACCGUUGAGCCCUGCCAGGAGGCCGGGCAUCAUCACACCCUGGGAUUGUGUAAGGGAGGUGGACAGCACACCCUGGAUUCCUGCAGAGGAGGACAAGUAGAGGCAGACAACUGCAGAUACGCAUACUCCGAUUGGUACACCUACACUCAGCCCCGUCUUGGUGAAAAGGUCCAGCUGUGUAAUCAGGAUAACAGUCAUACGCAUGCACAAGACUACGUCCGGACGUAUAACUAUGAAGGAAAAGGAUCGGCGGCUGGUUCUGUGGGUUGUUGCAGUGAACGACAAGAAGAAGAUGGGCUUGAAUUUUUGGAUCAUUUGGAACCCAAAUUUAGGACACUAGCAGAAGCAUGCAUGAAGAGAUGAGUGUGUUCUAUUUAGUCUACAAAAGCCAGUGGCUUUAAUUGUCUCUUUUAAAUUAUUAUUACAAGCCAGGAUUUUUUUAAAAAUAGAAGAUGCUGUUUUGGGGGCUUUUCCCCUUUAUUUUGUUGAGAUCUCUUUAGCCACAUGUGCUUUUACAGAGGGAUGCUGUGAACAACUACACAAAUUUCCUGAUUUUUCCAUAGUUUUUAAAUACUUGUCUUCCACCUAAGGACACCUGCAGAUAGACAAGUUGAGACAGUCUGCAUUAUUGUUUACAUUUGGGUAUAGUGACAGCAGCCAAUUUGUAGUGCAAUAAUAUGUAAUUAACUCAAGUCUAUAUCAUAGACUACUUGGAGUAUAACCGAAUGGAAAAUUGAAGAGGUCUUGCUCUAACAUUAUCUUCAGUUACCUAAAUUAAUUGUUUGUGUGGUGCUUGAAGACUGUUGUUCUCCUAAACAUUCUAAAGUGUAUACACUGCAUUCUUGCUAUUGUUUUAGUCUUGUAACAUGACCUUGCUUCAUAAAGCAAAGGGAGAUUCCCAACUAAGCGUUGACUGUUAUUAUAAUUCCACUUUGGUGGACUUUAGUUUUUGUGUUGUAUUCUCUGUGAAAUCCGGCACUGAAUCUACAUUUCCUCUGUUACCCACCUUCUCCGCAAAAUUUAAAUUAAAAAAAUGCUGAGGAAUGUAUUUUUUACUCCUGCAAGGUUUUGGUCUUUGGUCCCCGCCACUCCCCACCACCCCUUCUGUCUGCCUCUCACCCUCUCUCUUCCCUCUUUCCCCCUCUCCCUCUCUUUUUCCCUCUAUCUCUCUCUUUCUCUUCUUUUUUGUUCUUAAAAUUCCGAUUUGGGUUGGAGAAUCUAAGUAUGUUUAAAAGCCGCCUCUUUUUCCCUCGCUUAUAAAGUGACUUAUUCUGUGUUUCUGUUUUAUGUAAGCACCUGUAUUCUUGGCUUUUCUUAAAAUCAAUGUAAUGUCAAUUUUUUUGUUUCAGCUAUUUUGGUGAUUGCUUCAUUAUCUCCUCAACAAAGACCCUUUACUUUUGCCAUUCAACUGUAGAAGCAUGUCAUGCUUUUAUUUGAUGCAACACUCUAUGUUAACAAAAGGAAUAGUGUAAUUAAAAUUAGUUUAGUAUAAAAUAGUAUAUUUACAGUUCAUUAUUGCAAGGAUACAGUUUAUAAAUGCAAAAUAGUGAUUUUUUUGAAAUAAGCUUUGCAGUACAGGGAUUGUGAAAUCUCUAGGAAUAACUUUUAUAGCUUUUUAGAUCAGGUGGCUAGUUAUAGCUAUGUGUUUGUAAAGUUUUUUUUUUUUUAAUAUUUUGAGAUUACAGUUUUUUAACAAAUGUCGAACUGGUUCAAACUAUUUAAAUUUUGAAAUAAUAAGACAAAAUUAAACUUAAUAGCCAACCAAAUUCCAGGCUACAUUUCACAGCUGAUUUCAGUCAAUGAAUUUUCUAUCCGUACUAACCAUAUGGACAUUUUUAAAGUAUUUCUGAUAUUUAGGAUUGUUAAUAAUAUGCCUAUUUUGAAUUCACAGGAUUGGCUUAUAACAAUUAUUUUUAAAAAUUAACACUGGGUAAUUUAUUCAAUAAUCAGUUUAUCUUUUCAAUAGUUUCAUCACUACUCAGUCAAAAAUACUAUUUCUCAAAGUUAUUUUUAAUAAAUUAUGUAUAAAAUUCUUGUAUAUUACUAGU